UGCGCAGAGCUCCCCUCCAGCAGCUCAUCCCCCAUCCUGUACGGCUGCACGCCGUGAUUCCUCCCCACAUGCAAGUCUCCACGCUUGCUGUUGUUAAACCCCAUCUGCUUUCUUCCUGCCCAGCUCUCAGCCUGUCCAGCUCUUGCUGAAUGGCAGCACGGCCUUCAGACAACCCUCCCAACUUCGUGUCAUCACAAACUCGCUGACGGUGGCCACCGUCCCCUCGUCAAGGUCACUGAUGAAGAUGUUGAACAAGGACCCAGCACCGACCCCUGGGGACACCGCUGCUUACAGGCCUCCAACCCGACUCUGCACCGCCAACAACGACCCUCUGCUCUCUGCCAGUCAAACUUCCAGCAACCAAAAUCCAACCGGGACAUCUGUGGUGCUCCAUAAGGACUUCAUGUUUCCAAUCCACGGAUGCUGCAGAAAGCAGCGGGACGUUUGGAGAAGCGCUGAUCUGACAGCCAUCAACUUCCCAGCCCCCAGCCUGCGAAGCCCAUUUCGUUUGGCACCUGCACCCCACAGCCUACAGGCGCUGCCCAGGCCCACAAACCCCACGCAGCCAAAGCCGUGCGGUGGGAGCCUGAAGGAGGAAUGGGAGCAGCUGGUUGGCUCGAGUCAUUUUAGCAUCGUUAGCUGGGCUGCAGCAGUAAUUAAUUUCAGAUCGCCGCGCUGAAAAACGAGCGCUCUCCAGGUCUUUGGAACGCCCCGUAAAACUGACUUCAGAUGAUCUCAAGCAGUGACUCAGCUCGUAAAAAAGCAGCAGCGGAGAUAAAACGCACAGAUCCCACAUUGUGCGCAGCAUUACGGGCCAUCAACGCCAUUUUAGGCUCCAGCUGAUGGUUGAUUCGGAGCCAGUGCGGCUCCCUGGGGCUGGGCUGGUCCUCUGUGCAGGAAGGCUGUCAAACAACACACAGCAAUUGUCCCACUUAGGGGUCACAGGUGCAGGGAGGGUGGUCACGAUGUGGGGCUGGAAGAGCCCCAGUUCAGCCAAUGGGAGUCGGGUUGGGAGAGAAAUGGAGAGCAGCGCGUUCCUGGCUGGGGAUGGAUGGAAUUCCAAGCACUUCUUUUUGGCUUCUGGGGAGAAUUUGGGUGCACAGUCUUCCUUCCAUAAAAUCAGACUGAGUGGUAGCUGGGUUCCAGGAGCCUCACUGCCCUGAGCUUAGGUUGGGUUCAAAGGGUCUUUAAAGAUCACAGAGCCAUGGGAUGGUUGGGGUGGAAGGGUCCUUACAGAUCAUAAAGCCAGUGGAUGGUUGGGUUGGAAGGGUCCUUACAGAUCACAGAGCCAUGGGAUGGUUGGGUUGGAAGGGUCCUUACAGAUCACAGAGCCAUGGGAUGGUUGGGUUGGAAGGGUCCUUACAGAUCACAGAGCCAUGGGAUGGUUGGGUUGGAAGGGUCCUUAAAGAUCAUAAAGCCAGUGGAUGGUUGUGUUGGAAGGGUCCUUACAGAUCACACGGGAUGGUUGGAUUGGAAGGGUCCUUAAAGAUCACAGAGCCAUGGGAUGGUUUGGGUUGGAUGGGUCCUUAAAGGUCACAGAGCCACGGGAUGGUUGGGUUGGAAGGGUCCUUAAAGGUCACAGAGCCACGGGAUGGUUGGGUUGGAAGGGUCCUUAAAGGUCACAGAGCCAUGGGAUGGUUGGGUUGGAAGGGUCCUUAAAGAUCAUAGAGCCAUGGGAUGGUUGGGUUGGAUGGGUCCUUAAAGAUCACAGAGCCAUGGGAUGGUUUGGGUUGGAUGGGUCCUUAAAGAUCAUAGAGCCAUGGGAUCGUUGGGUUGGAUGGGUCCUUAAAGAUCAUAGAGCCAUGGGAUGGUUGGGUUGGAUGGGUCCUUACAGAUCACAGAGCCAUGGGAUGGUUGGGUUGGAUGGGUCCUUAAAGAUCAUAGAGCCAUGGGAUGGUUGGGUUGGAAGGGUCCUUAAAGAUCACAGAGCCAUGGGAUGGUUGGGUUGGAAGGGUCCUUAAAGAUCAUAGAGCCAUGGGAUGGUUGGGUUGGAAGGGGUCCUUAAAGAUUAUAGAGCCAUAGAAUGGGUUGGGUUGGAAGGGUCCUUAAAGGUCAUAGAGUCACUGAAUGGUUGGGUUGGGAAGGUCCUUACAGAUCAUAGAGAACAGAAUGGUUGGGUUGGAAGGGUCCUUCAUGAUCAGAGAACCUUAGGAUCUGUUGGAAGGGACCCCCAGCCCCCCCCUGCCGUGGGCUGGCUGCCCCCCAGCUCAGGCUGCCCAGGGCCCACUCCCAACCUGGGGCACCUCCAGGGCUGGGGCACCCACAGCUCCGGGCAGCAGUGCUGGGGCUGCACAGCCCCAAGGCACAGCUGGGUGCCAGCUCCACGCUCCUCCUGCACAGAACUGCGUUCUCCUCAGGCCAGGACCCGCUGCAUUCGCCUGGGGGUGAACUGGAAGGAUGGGGAAGCUGCGAUGCACCGCAGCGCUCGGAGCCAGAAGGCAGAGAGGCCGCGGGGAGCACUAAAAACUUCCCUAAGGCUCCUGGCCUUUCCAUUUGUUCCACGUGUGGCAGGCGUGCCUUUUUUCUCCAUCUCGUACAUAUGUUGUUUUUACUUUUCAAUCUCCAGAGACCCAUAAAGGCUCUGGAAGAAGACCAAGGAUUUGCAUUUUCCAGGAGAGCAGCAAAAAAAAAACCCACAAAAACAACCCAAGAAAAAAACAAACCCAUAAAUUAAAACACCAAAAGCCACAAGGACGCAUCUGAGCCGCAGCAGGAAACUCCCAGAGCAGCUCCCAGCCCACUGCAUCCCAAUGCUAUGGGAUCUCCCUGUGAAACGGACGCGCCGCGCUCGUUAAGCUGUUCCUAUUAAGCCAGCAGAGAGGCUUAAUAGAAAGGACAGCUGGGGAGCAGCGGAGGGGAGCCCCGUCCGCUCCAAACGCACCUCUGGAUGAGGAGAAAGGUUUCACAACAGAGCUCCAGGCACCAGGAAAGGCUGUGGGCUGCUGGCAUCGCAGCUGCAGAGAGCUCUCACUGCACCAGGGAGCGCAGAGCAGCGCACGCGUGUGCACAUGCAUGUGUGUGUAUGUAGCCACAGGGCUACGGGCACAGCACACACGUGUUGCUGCGCACACUGCACAUGUAUGUUGAACACAGAGCCACAGAAUGGUUCUGAGUGGGGUUGGAAGGGUCUUUAAAGACAAUUGGGCCAUGGGGUGGGGUGGGUUGGAAGGGUCCUUAAAGAUCACAGUGACAUAGUAUGGGUUGGAAGGGUCCUAAAUAUCAGAGAGGCAUGGGAUGGUUGGGUUGGAAGGGUUCUUACAGAUCACAGAGCCAUGGAAUGGUUGGGGUGGAAGAGUCUAUAAGAAUCACUUUGACACAGUACACGUUGGGUUGGAAGGGUCCUUAAAGAUCACAGUGACAUAGUAUGGAUUGGAUGGGUCCUAAAUAUCAGAGAGGCAUGGGAUGGUUGGGUUGGAAGGGUCCUUACUGUUUAUAGAGGUAUGGAAUGAGUUGGGUUGGAAGGGUUCUUACAGACCACAAAGCCAUGGAAUGUUGGGUUGGAAGGGUCCUUAAAGAUCAUAGAGCCAUGGAAUGGUUGAGUUGGAAGAGUCUUUAAAGAUCACAGCAAUACAGUACACAUUGGUUGGAAGGGUCCUUAAAGAUCACAGAUCAUAGAGCCAUGGAAUGGCUGUCUUGGAAUGGCUCUUGGAAUGGCUCUUAUCACAGAACCAUAGAAUGGUUGGGUUGGAUUGGAAGGGUCCUUACAGAUCACAGAACCAUAGAAUGGUUGGGUUGGAUUGGAAGGGUCCUUACAGAUCACACAACCACAACACAGUUGGGUUGGAUAGGAAGGGUCCUUACAGAUCACACAACCACAACACAGCUGGGUUGGAUAGGAAGGGUCCUUACAGAUCACACAACCACAGCACAGUUGGGUUGGAUUGGAAGGGUCCUUACAGAUCACACAACCACAACACAGUUGGGUUGGAUAGGAAGGGUCCUUACAGAUCACACAACCACAACACAGUUGGGUUGGAUAGGAAGGGUCCUUACAGAUCACACAACCACAACACAGUUGGGUUGGAUAGGAAGGGUCCUUACAGAUCACACAACCACAGCACAGUUGGGUUGGAUUGGAAGGGUCCUUACAGAUCACACAACCACAACACAUUGGGUUGGAUAGGAAGGGUCCUCACAGAUCACACAACCACAGCACAUUGGGUUGGAAGGACUCCCCAGCCCCAUCCCUGCCGUGGGCUGGCUGCCCCCCAGCUCAGGCUGCCCAGGGCCCACCCCCAGCCUGGGGCACCUCCAGGGCUGGGGCACCCACAGCUUGGGGCC